UACGGGGGGGGGCAAGCGUUGUUCGGAAUUACUGGGCGUAAAGGGCUCGUAGGCGGCCAACUAAGUCAGACGUGAAAUCCCUCGGCUUAACCGGGGAACUGCGUCUGAUACUGGAUGGCUUGAGGUUGGGAGAGGGAUGCGGAAUUCCAGGUGUAGCGGUGAAAUGCGUAGAUAUCAGGAGGAACACCGGUGGCGAAGGCG
rnacentral:rRNA from 1 species